UUUUUUUUUUUUUUUUUUUUUUUUUGGUCUUUUUAGGGCCUUACCUGAGGCAUACGGAGGUUCCAAGGCUAGGGGGAGAAUCAGAGCUGUAGUCACCAGCCACAGCCACAGCCUUGUCAGAUCGGAGCCGCUACUUCGACCUACACCACAGCUCACAGCAACAAUGGAUCCUUAACCAACUGAGCGAGGCCAAGGAUUGAAACUGCGUCCUCAUGGAUGCUACUCAGAUUCAUUCCCCCCAAGCCACUAUGGGAACUCCUGAAAGGUACCUUUUUAACCUGGAAGAGACACUGACUCAUGAUGGGAAAUUUGACUUCUGCCCCCUCAACAGGAGGAAUAAUACUAAGCCAGUCACAGAGGAGUUAGAAAGCUACACUGUUUUCCAUAUCUGACUUUCAGUUUAUCAAUUGUGACCCCACUAUGGGUUCUUCAUAAGAGUAUCUAUCAUGUGUUUAGCACUCAAGGUGCUGUGCUUUAAAAAAAGGCUUUACAGGAGUACCCAUCUUGGCUCAGUGGUUAACAAAUCCAACUAGGAACCAUGAGGUUGCGAGUACAAUCCCUGGCCUUGCUCAGUGGGUUAAGGAUCUGACGUUGCCGUGAGCUGCGCUGUAGGUUGCAGAUGUGGCUUGGAUCCCGUGUUGCUGUGGCUCUGGCAUAGGCUGGCGUCUACAGCUCUGAUUAGACCCCUAGCCUGGAAACCUCCAUGUGCCGAAGGAGCGGCCCAAGAAAUGGCAAAAAGACAAAAAAAAAAAAAAAAAAGGCUUUAUAUUCAUGUCUCAUUCCAUACAAUAAUCUCAAGAGGCAGGUGCUAUCAUUGUUUCUGAACUACGGAGAAGCAAGCUGCAAUUUAGAAAGGUUAAGUAAAUGUGACCAAGAUUAGACAGCAAAUAAGUGACACUGAAGAUCUGAAUCCAAUGGCAGAACCCUCUCGAUACAACCUGUGUACCACUAUGGCACUCACUCUUCAGAUGUUUAAAGAAUGUUAAAUGACUAACCCAAUCAGCAGAACUGGGCUUUGAAUCAAGGCAGUGUGGCUCAAGACACACCAGUUUCUAUUUCUUGAAUGAUUUUUCAAGUAUUUUAACAAACCUACUUAAAACGUAAAUCUUCCUCUUGCUUUUAUAACUAUUGGAAAACAUGGGGAAUACACAGAUUACAGUAGUGGGAAAUGAAAGAAAAAAAUGAAAAAAUUUAACAGAACAUAAAGUUCAGCAAGGUUUUAUGAAUAGAAACUCUGAAAGAAAAGAUGAACUAGAGGGAGGAGUGAAAUUACUGGUAGCUGGACACUGGGAACAGGGAGCGGAACCUAACUUGUCAUCUAAUGAUGCAGAAUUACAACUAACGACCAGAUCUGGGAAUGGGUUUGGAGCCCAAGAAAGAACGCUGAAAAAGCCUUGUGAAGUACACAUGCUCAGAUAUCGUAAGAUAACCGCACCUACCACUGGAGAGAAACAUCUUAAGAAAUAACACAGUGGAAUUCCCUGGUGACCAAGUGGUUAAGGGCUCAGUGUUGUCACUGCUGAGGUUCAGGUCACUGUUGUGGCUUGGGUUCAAUCCCUGGCCCAGGAACGUCUGCAUGCUGUGGGUGUGGCCAAAAAAAAAAAAGAGGGAGAGACAGAAGUGACACACUUGUAGAGGAAUCCAAGCCUCAUCUGCAACCUACACCACAGCUUAAGGCAAAGGCCAGAUCCUUAACCCACAGAGUGAAGCCAGGGAUUGAACCUGCAUCCUCAUGGGUUAUUAGUCGGAUUCUUAACCUGCUGAGCCACAACAGGAACUCCCACAUGACAAUCUUACCACGUAUUUUAAAAACCUAACCAAAAUCUGGGAUGAAUCCUUUUCUAUGCUGGGCUUACUCUGAAAUUUGUUAAGCAAUGAGAUGGAAACCUCAGGACACAAAUCAAAGGUCUCUGCUGUUUCCCAAGGCAGCACUAAGCAAUAUUAAAUGUGCUUACAAGCAAUAUUAAAUUUAAUUAUAAAAUUAAAUAUUAAAUUUCCUCACAGUUUUCAGUCUUCCGCCACAGUGUGAUGGAUGCUUCCACCUCUCCCUCGGUAAGCUGGGAAUUCACUUGGUAUCAAGGGUUAGACACCCAAGUUCUCUGCACAAUACAGGGCGAAGGUUCUGACUCUUUCUGCUCAUCUCCUGGGACAGAAAUAAAUGGCCUUUGGUGAAUCCAGUCAUAACUCCAGAAUUUUGUUUGAGGCAAGUUCAGUGGCACAGUCCCUUGCUGAUCUCUAAUUAAACAUUAAAACAGCAAGCAAGCAAGCAUAAUUUCUAGAGAAAGAUUUCUCAAAGGAAUGAGCAAAUAUUGUAUAUUCUCUUCUCUUGUAAUAAAUAUCAUUUAUUUUCCUGAAACAAAGCAUUCUGUUAUUAACUGACUUAAAAUUAACAAGCCACAAUUUGAUGACUCCUUCCCAUUUUUUUGUUAUGGUAAGUAUAAGGGAAUAGGGUAGUGGGCUUCAAGCCCAUAAAAGACAUUUAAUAAAUAUAUCCGAAAAUAUCAGAGUAAAUACUUUACCCACCAGGUCACUGGAUUCAUUAGUACUCUUUCGGUUAUUAAUGACAACGGUCCACCUCCAUCCGUUGUGAGAAAGAAUAUUAUCACUUAACUAGGAUAAGGGAUUCAAAAUGACAGCUGGCAGAAUUAAUAUAGUUAAAACACCCAAAGCAAUCUACAGAUUUAAUGCAAUCUCUACCAAAAUGCCCAUGACAUUUUUCACAGGACUAGAACAAAUACUCCUAAAAUUUACAUUGAACCACAGAAGAUCCCCAACUGCCAAAGCAAUCCUGAGGAAAAAGAACAAAGCUGGAGGUAUAACCCCUCCAGACUUCAGACUAUACUACAAAGCUACAGUAAUUAAAACAUGUUAUUGAAAAAAAACAGACAUAUAGAUCAAUGGAACAGAACAGACAGCCCAGAAAUAAACUCACACACCUACAGUAAAUUAAACUUUCACAAAGAAAGCAAGAAAAUACAAUGGAGGAAAGACAGUCUCUUCAGCCAGUGGUGUUGGGAAAGCUGGCCAGCCAUACAUAAAUCAGUGAAAUCAGAACACUCCCUAACACCAUACACAAAAAUAAAUUCAAAAUAACCUAAAGGUUUAAAUAUAAGCAUAUUAAAUAUGACAGUAUCAAACUCCUAGAAGAGAACCUAGGGUUUUUUUGGUUUUUUAUUUUUUUGUUUUUGUGUUUCUGCCUUUUCUUGAGCCGCUCCUGCAGCAUAUGGAGGUUCCCAGGCUGGGGUGGGGGGUCUAAUCAGAGCCGUAGCCGCUGGCCUACAUCAGAGCCACAGCAACAUGGAAUCCGAGCCGUGUCUGAGACCUACACCACAGCUC
rnacentral:lncRNA from 1 species